GCCAAGAGGGCUCUUUUAAGGGUUGAUUUAUCUUCAUUAAUUCAUUCAUUUUCAGACCAAGAACAUGAGAUAAAGCCAUUGCACAUAUUCUCCCUAAAAUCCCACACAAACCCGAGGUGAUUUCGAGUGAUACGAAGUGAUUCUAGUGUCGCAAAACCCAAACUGCUUGCUAGUUUCCCUUUCCUUUUCUUGUAGCUGUACUAGGGGCUAAUAACAGGUGAAGGAAGCUUAGGUUUUCACUGGUUCUGAUCACUCCAAGGUUGAAGUGCUACGGGCAGGAUAUAUUGAGUCGUGGUUAAGUAACAAAGGUAGAUAGGGAGACGGUCCAGACACCUAAGAGCUUUAUCAGCAGAUAUACAGGAGCACUCCAUUACUCCGGAGUUGCAGCUUAUUGGUAUAUUCUUUUGUGUACAUAAUGGGGCAUGGCGGGGUCCUGUCCCGUCUUUAUGAUUUUCUGCACUCUAGUUAGAGGCUCGUAGUCAUAUGUGGAUAGUAGAUGUCUUUUGACCUCUUUAGUGUAUGUCUUGUAUAUCAUUUUGUAGCCUCGUGGGCUUAUGCAUAUGUAUAUAUACUAUCUUGAGGAGCAAUUGAAGCUUGUUCCAUAACAAGUUUUGCUUUGAGAAUUGUAUUUAUUCAAGAUGAGCUAGAUGAUAAAAGGAAAGGUGGUGCUCGGUAGGCUAGCUCCGGGUACUCGUCAUGACCCUCUAGCUGGGUCGUGACAUAU